UUAGGUUUGGGUUAGGUUUGGGUUAGGUUUGGGUUAGGUUUGGGUUAGGUUUGGGUUAGGUUUGGGUUAGGUUUGGGUUAGGUUUGGGUUAGGUUUGGGUUAGGUUUGGGUUAGGUUUGGGUUAGGUUUGGGUUAGGUUUGGGUUAGGUUUGGGUUAGGUUUGGGUUAGGUUUGGGUUAGGUUUGGGUUAGGUUUGGGUUAGGUUUGGGUUAGGUUUGGGUUAGGUUUGGGUUAGGUUUGGGUUAGGUUUGGGUUAGGUUUGGGUUAGGUUUGGGUUAGGUUUGGGUUAGGUUUGGGUUAGGUUUGGGUUAGGUUUGGGUUAGGUUUGGGUUAGGUUUGGGUUAGGUUUGGGUUAGGUUUGGGUUAGGUUUGGGUUAGGUUUGGGUUAGGUUUGGGUUAGGUUUGGGUUAGGUUUGGGUUAGGUUUGGGUUAGGUUUGGGUAAGGUUUGGGUUAGGUUUGGGUUAGGUUUGGGUUAGGUUUGGGUUAGGUUUGGGUUAGGUUUGGGUUAGGUUUGGGUUAGGUUUGGGUUAGGUUUGGGUUAGGUUUGGGUUAGGUUUGGGUUAGGUUAGGUUUGGGUUAGGUUUGGGUUAGGUUUGGGUUAGGUUUGGGUUAGGUUAGGUUUGGGUUAGGUUUGGGUUAGGUUUGGGUUAGUUUGGGAUAGGUAA